CUUAACUUUAAACUGUGAUAAAUAUCUUAUAUUGCUAGUUUAAAAAUUUAAAUCGUUUGCAUUUCAUUAUGAAAUAAAAUUUUAAUGCAGGCAGUGUUUCGAAAUUCGAUUAUUGUGAACAAUUAGAUUAGGUCUUUCUACAUCCAACGCAGAACGGAGUCCACGGAGGAUAAGCUGAUCUAACGCUGAAUCUUUUUGCUUGCGUUCUUGAAUAUUUUAUCUUGCAAAAGAAUUGCCUUGAUAUUCAUAUUUGCAAUAAAGAAAUUUGCUUUGAAUCCCAAGUAAAGUAAACAAUAUGUUUUACUAUGAGCAGGCAUCAGUCCGCCUGAACAAUUUAUCAUCAUUGCUGACAUGAUUUGUGAUACUUACCAACUAAAUAAAUAGUUAUUGACUUUUGGCAAAGUGCAAGAACCACUUCAUAUCACAUCAUUUAACCUCCUUUGUACAUUUCGACUAUUUGACAUAGCUCUGACUUGUCAAUCUAGCUGUUCUUUAGCAAUGUUUCUAUAGAUUUUGUUUAGAAUUCGCAUGAAUUCCUUCUUUCACAGUGUUAUUGGCUGGGUGCCAAUGUCCAUUUUGUUGUAGAGUAAGUACCUCUGGACAUUGCCAAGCAGUAACAAUUGUCAUUUCUUGUCAAGUCAUCAUUUGUUUCAAUUGGUCUGGUCCUAUUGCUGUGUUUAUUUCCCAUGGAAGUAUGAGCCCUACAGUUACUAUAUAAUUUUCAUUUGAUUUUAGGAAUAUGUCUGUCUAAUAUCCUCAUGCUGGGAUUUUAAAGUUUUUCAUACAUAUACAUCAGCACUGUUGAUUUAGGUGGUUGUUAUUCAAAAUCAUUUCUAGCCUAAGAUUAAAAAACCACAGUUGUGAGGGCUUUCAACUAUAUUAACCACACUAUAACUGCAUACUACUUUUAAAUAACUGAAUUCAAGAAAAAUCUUCAUUUGAAUUUAUUCAAUUCAAGAUGAAAGAAUAAAUUGUACAUGCUGUUUCAUAAGUUAGCUAGAGUUAUGGGCUCCUUUAUAGGUCUUGUUGUACCACACAGUAUAGACUUUUUACACUUGACAAUUUCUUUUUGAUAAUUUCCUAUCAAACCCUUUAUGAAAGAAAUUAACAUAGCUCAAGUAGCUAUGAAAAAUACUGGAAUUAAUCCUUUUGUUAAGAUCAAGCUACAAAUUAACCUGCAGGAACGUGAGUUUUAGGUACUCAAAGUAGUGAGGAUGAAUUUGAAAUUUGGUAUUUUUAUAUCUUAUUACAGGGAAAUAAAAAAACCAAUUACAUAAUAUGAAAUUGGUUUUUUAGGCUAAUCAUAAUAUGAUUAUCCUCUUAAUAUUUAUAUAAAUUAGUCAUUAAAACAGUCUUUAAAUUCAAACAAUCCUGCACAUUAUAACAAAAUAUUGAAAUCAGGAACUAAAAUUAGAUGCGAGAAAUAUGAUAAGACUUACUACCUACCUAACUACCCUUAAUGAUCUUCAUUUCAGCCGGAAGACGUCCACUGCUGGACAAAGCCCUUAAUCAAACAAAAUUUUUUUUUGAGAAAAUUUAAAACUGGAAGAGGUUUGUAGGUCACUUGGUUGUGGAGAUUUCUAAAAAAAUACUCCUUUUUCUAUAUAGAGGGGGGGGAAAUGGGGGUUUUGCGGAAAUUAUUUCCAAGUAUCCAUUAUUUCGAUGCAAAAUAUAAUUAAGUGGGAAAUUACUUACCAAUAUCCAGGACAGCCUCAACUUUUGCUACACUUUUUUUACAAGUUCUAUACAUAUUAGUUGCUCCUACUUUGCUUUUUUUUUUUAUCUAAUAUAAUAAAAUAAAAGAGGAAUAUUAAUUCGGUCCUUUCUCCUAAUGAGUCUUAGCAGUCCCAAAAUGUCUGUCACAUUGUAGAAACGAAUGGCCACGGACAGGAAAGUAUUGAUAUAUUUUCUCAAAACGAUUUAUUCCAACAAGAGUUAGUAAGAAUCUUAUAAGAGUGUUAUUUCUAUUUUGUCCUCCACAAGCAUCGCUAAAAACGUGUAGUUCUUUGACAGAGGGAUCCAUAUUCUGUACAGUCUUCCACAAUAAACUGCGUACUUCAUCUAUGCCCCGUUUAGCUAUGCUUAAGCUAUGAGGGUAAGUGUAGAAAUCAGCAGAAUUCGUCUUUAAGUCGUGAACACAAAACACAUACAGCCAUAGUUUUCUCAAAUAAAACAUCUCUUGAACUGGUAUCUUAGGAAUCGGCAGAUUUUGCAUAUAAUCAGAUACAAUGGCUCCUACAUCUUCUCUUUCUUGACACAGUGCCAAAAUUUCUUUCUGUUUAUUAUAAAACUUUUUAGCACGUUUAAGAUGUAUCAUUUUUGUUGCAACCGCCAUACUCUUUACAUUUGCAUUGGGUGAUGGACUUUUUAUUUUUGCAUCGAGUUCUUCGCAAGUUGAGCAAACGUCUACUUGUGGGCGACCAAAUUUAUAGCCAUGAUUAUCAUUAAAAUAUUUUCUGUAAUAGUCUUAUUUUACGCAUUGAAAUUGGCGGUAUUUUGUCAAAAAAAGUUCAUGCAUUAUUUUGACGUUUAGGUUCGCUUCUAAAUAUUGUAUAUUUUUGCUGCUGUAAUGUGAUUGUUUUAAGGGAAAUGACCGGAUAUGUUCAUCAAUAGCCGCAAUUGUUUCGUUUGUUAAGACAUUACCUCGAUUACGAUGCUGCCGUCGUUGAUGUUCAGGUAAUUUUCCCUCCGUUUUAAGGGAGGUAAGGCGAAAAAGAGCCUUAUUUUUUAUACCAUAUAAAAUGGAGAAAGCUUGAAGGCAUACCUGAUUUUUUUCAUUUCCUUUAGUAGCAAAAUACGUGAACGAACUGUCACGCUUUUUCGGAUUUUCGUGUUUUGAACAAUGGCGAUUAACCCUUGCGUAUUCAAUGAGACUCAUCAUAUAUAUGUCUUGCUCAUUUUUCGGACGUCCAUUGUAAACGAAUUUAAACAAUUGCUGUUUUUCUUCAAUGCUAAACUGCUGAGUGCAUUUUUUAUUACAGACACAGUUACUAUUAGAUUUUGCUGACACUAACCGCACCAGUACUUGUACUCACAUAAGAUUUGCCAAGUAAACGCUGUGUCUUCUGCUUUUCUUUUUUGUAUAAAUGGAUAUUUUUAACAUCUCUUCUCUUCUUUUUCGGAGUCUCAGCUUCUGACUUAUUAUCAAGUGAAUUGUUACAGCUACUUUCACUGCUCAUAUUCAAACUUUAGUAUUGAAAUAAUAAUUAAAAUGUUAAUAAUCUUCACUACGCAACGCUCACCGAAUGCAGUCUCAAAGACAACUAAAAUGGCGUCAAUUAGAUCGUAAGUGUCGCGCCCCCCACCAAUAACGAUGCGUUUUUGUCUAUCGAUAAAUAAACAAGCAAAAAUAAUCACUAACUUUUAUACUCGUAACGUUGAUAGUUGGAAGAAAAGAAUACAGACAGGAUUCGUUCUUCCAACUAAACUUUUUCAUGGCCGCAUGAAUCUAUACAAAGUGAGUGGUUUUUGUUCCUUUUUUCGAACUCACAAUUUAGCGCUACGUCUAUAUAGAAUAUAAAAGUGUAUAAAACUGAAUAUGGUUGUUCAUUUUGAGUUACUGGUUUGCAGUUCUUGCUACUUUUCUGAUGGGCGUAUCAAUGUGUUUGUUCCACAAUGAAAACAAUCAGUACAUCAGGAAAAAACCGUUCGAAAAUACUUAGUGGUGAUGUUUUGUGCGUGUCAUUAGCGCCGGGUUUAAAACAUUUUCCAAAAACGGGAAUACGGGUUUCGGAGUGUUAUUUUUCAUUCUGACUUAGAGGUCAAUAGAAGAAGACAGAGUGAGAAUUAGCAAUGGUUUAAGUUAGCAGACUAUUAUGAAUAAGGGGGCCGAUCUUUAGUUUUUUCCUAUUCCUGAGGUGAUAUAAAAUAUAAUACGUAGGUACUGAGGUACCAAUUGAAAAACUUUGCAGUUGGUUAACACAUUCAAUGCCACCACGAUUUUCUAAUACUUCCCAGCGAUGCCGCCCUAUAAAAAACGCAAACAUGCUAGGUGUGCUCGCGGCACUGCAGGAUGGAAUUACGUAGCACGCUAGGCGUGUUCACCGGCACUGUUAAGAGGUAAAAUCAAAGAAAGCGUUAUUUCGGCUUCAACCGUGUUUAUUGAUCAGUCUUUCUCGAGUUACUGAAGAGAUAUUUUGUUUUUAGCAGUGUUUGUGCUUUUGAAAGUUAAAUUAUGGCAGUUAGUAGAUUCCAAGGGAAAACAAAAUAUGUGCAAGAAACAGUGGAAUAUGAUGAUGAUGCGACGCAAGCAGAUAGCCCACCCUCACAAAAACGCCCAAAAGUAGGAGAAUACAUCGCGAACGCAUCAAGCUCACCGAACUCAUCGCAAGAUAUAUUUACAGAACUACAAGAUGUACCUUACUCCCAAAAAUGGACAUAUUCGCAACAAAUGGAUGAAUAUGACAAAAAGGAUGUAAACACCAUGACUGACGGAAGACCAACAAUUACUAAAUAUAAAGAAAUUGGUACCAUGACUGAACCAGGGUUGACUUGUAACAACAAUACUAAUAUUGAAAUUCGAUGCAAUGAAUAUUUCGGAAGUGUUGUAGCAUGCGAGCUAGCAAAUUAUCACGGUCGCGUUCGUUACGAUAAAAUGAAAGCUAUCAUUGAUAUUUUUAAAGAAAAGUGAGAAAUUAGUUGCCUUGAUUGUUUAAAAGGUUUCUAUGAUUCUCUUGAGGAA